CUCUCUCCCUCUCUAUCUCUUAUAAUGGCUCUCUCAAAAUUUCUAGGGUUCAUUCUCCUCGCCGCUUUUUUCGUUUCGUUCACGGUUGCUCAAUCUCCUGCACCAGCUCCAUCUAGCGGAGGAAGGCGGAUCUCUCCGGCGCACUCACCUAAGAAGGCGAUGUCUCCUGCACCAGCUGUUUCUCCUACUCCUCAAACCGCAUUGACUCCAGAAUCUUCCUCCUCUCCUCCAUCGCCACCCUCCGCAGAUUCUCCUUCAGAUUUGCCGGCUUUUUCUCCCUCUUCCAUCUCCAACUCGCCUGCUCAAGCUCCCGCUCCCGUAAGCGGCACCGUUUCUAACAGCUACGCGGUCUUUGGAUCCGUCGCUUUUAUGUUAACCGCUGCCGUUUUGGCUAUGUAGGUUCUUUGCAUGAAUUUUUAGAAUAACUAGGUAUUUAUUUAUUUAAAAUAUUUGCAGAGAGUGGCGAUUAUUUAUUUUUCCUUUUUAUUAUUUCGGAUUACUAUUUGUUUCUCAUUUUUUUGAUCUCACAUGAGUCACAUACAUAUUAAUAUAUGAGUUUACCAGAUAUUAUUAUUGCCAUAUUUAUUUACAGUUUUGGUCUAAUAAUUUCUAAAAUGUUUAACAACAAUAUAAUGCAAAAAAGAUACAAAAUCAUGAGCUGCAAAACGACAAUACAAAAGUUGUAUCCAUACAAUCAAAAUGUUAAGUGAAAUUCAAGAUUAAUAUGGGAACAUGCUUUAAUUGAUUGUCAAAAUGAUUUUGCGUAUAUUUACAUUCCCUUUUUAUAAUUUAACUACUGCUUAGCAUAUUAGCCCAAUGAAAAAAUAUAGAUAUCCCUACUGGUAAGCAAAUAAGCCCAAAAGAAGAUUGAGACUAGAGAGAGUAACAACAAUGUGAUUGCAAUAUAUCCAUCGUAACAUGAGCCUUAAGGCCUAAUAGUAGCACAGUGGAUGUUAUAAUUGUAAUGAAUGAACCUCAGGGCCUUAAUAGUAGCCCAAUAUAACCUUCUGAAUCACUAAGAAGUUUAGAGCAUACAUCUUUCCUCUGCUUUAGACCUCUUGUUGGGGCAUGUCAAAUUGAGAAAGUACUUACUGACUUUCUGAGCCCAAACAAAACUGAAAGGGAAGUGACUUGAGGUGGAUCCUGACCGUUAGAUACUGUCUUCCCUUUUGCAAAAAGAGAGCCGUCAGAUGAGUAGAUCCGGUCCCGACAAUUUUACACGAGGCUUUUAACAUAUGAAGGCGAUGUGGCACCUAUCACCACCACCACCAUCAUCAAUAAUGCGAUUUUUUAUAUGUAAGCCAAUAUUAUGUGUAUGUGGUUGAUAAUGAUAUAUUGAUUUGUGCCUAAUAAGAUCAAAUUAUUACGGUUGUGUAUAUAAGAUAUUAGUCAUAGAAAAAAAACAUAUUGACCCAUAUGUUACAAACCCUCGUUACAAUCCAAUCAAAUAUGUGGCUAUUAUAUAUUUAUGGCCACUCCAUACGUGGAGGUAAGAGUUAAAAGAUUGGUUCUUGAAAACGACCUGUUUCUUUAGUACUACAAUGUGAUUGAUACACUUUAAAACCAAAAUAUAAUUAACGAAAUUAGUUGUAUAACAAACGAGUUUUAAUCAAUCUAAUCUAUAAGUAUUAAAAACAUAUAGUCUCGAGCCUUCGACCAAAACAAUUUGAUUGAAACUCAUCGAUAUAUGUAUAUUAAGUGAAGAUUGGAACUGAUCAAUAACCACCAGUGUGUAUGAAUGUUGACAUAUAUAAUAUUCUUCUGGACCAUUUCUUCUUUCUCUAUCUCCAUUUAUGUAAGAAUGAACAACCUUUGUUUUUAAUGCUUCCAACUUUUUCGUCCAUUUUAUUUUUCAUUAACCAACUACCACUUCAAUAAUAUAUUAGUAAAGUGUUCCCAAACCUUUGACGUCCGCUUCUUUUCUGACCUUGAGCCACUGCAGUUUUUGGUUUUCUUUCGUUUUCCUUUGUUACGAGAGAGUGGAGUCUCAAUUUCAUCUUCUGAUAUAUCUACUGGUGGAUCAUCACCACAAGACGCCAUCUGCAUUACAGACAAAACGAAAAUCAAACUCGGAUUAUGUAACAACAACAACGACAUGUUCUAAUAAUAAACAGAAGUUACAGAACACAAGACUACAAGAGUCAAGAGAAAUAAACAUCGAGUUUAAUCAAACAUUGAGGUUUAAUCAAACAUUGAAGAUCAAGAUCAGAGGAACAGAAACAGAAGAGAUAAAUACAAUAUCAUCCGCUAUAAUCAGAGGAACAAGAAUCAAGCUUGGGUUUAAUCAACAAGAAUCGAUACCAUAAACAAGAACCAAACUCGGAUUAAAACAAAAGCCAUAAACAAAAUCGAGACUUACCCUGCUUUGAUUUGUAGACAAAGCUGUCGCUGAUGAAGAAGUGGGUAGGGUUAGGGGGUUUCGAAGGAGAACUUGAUUAUGAUGAGAUUCCAGUUUGAUAAUGUUUGUUGAUUUCGGAUUUAUAUGUUGAUAGAUCAAUAAAGUAGCGACUCUUCGAUUCAAUUUUUUUUUGGAGGAGUGGAACGAUGUAUAGGAGGAGGCGUUGCUGCAUCGGGGAAGCCGGGAAGAGAAGAGAUAGAUGUAGGCUGGUUUAGAUAGAUAGAUGUAGGCUGGUUUAGGCUUGGUUUAGGGAAUUGAUUCGGGUCUAAAAUUACCCUAUCGGAUAUAGGGUACGGUUCGGGUCGGGUACUCUACCCGCGGGUCCGUAGUCUCAAGACCCAAUAGGGUAAUAUGGUGCCACCCGAACCCGACCCGAACCGGGUUUUUUGGGUCGGUUCCGGUCCGGGUUUUCGGGUCCGGGUAAAAUGCCCAGGCCUAGUUUUGACAUUAAAAUGGUGCUAGUGGUUGGAGAUGCCCUUAUAUUACUGGGUUUGCAGUUAAAUGAAUGUUUGUUUAACAAAUGUUAGUUCUUGCAAAAUUUAAUUUAAUAAUGCAACAAAUGUCAAUCCCCAAGAAAAUUCAAAAGAAAUAUUGUACUCUUAUUCAAUAGAUACAACCAAAAAGAUCUGUGUAUGCACAGAUUACAUACAAAAUUUAUUGUAAAUCUUACACAUAUCAAAUUAUGACAUUAAGAUAUUUAAGAAGGACCAGAAGAAAAGGGAAAGAAACAGAGUGUCAUAGACGUUUUAAUUAUGGAAGAAAAAUAUAACAACGGUCAUGUUUUCCUUUUCCAUCACGCGUUAAUAAAACCAACACAUGUACGCUCGUGAUUCAAUAAUCACAUCUGUCAAUGUCAUAGAGCCGUUAGCGCGCGCCGUAGUCGAGGGGGAUGAAGCCAUACGCGUUUUCUUUUUUUUUUUACUUUCCCAUUAGGCUUGUCCCCACCUGUUUAACUUUUAUGCUGUUGAAUGAAAUCUAAGCCGUUGGAUUAAAGUCGGUCUUCAAUGUUACAUAUCAACGGUGCAGAUUCACCAUACAACUCAAAACAGUGGACCCAACUUCGUCUCUAUAUAAAGACUCUUUUCCUAGCUUCGUAAACAUCAAAAGCAAUUAAGCAAACACUCGUAAAAAAAAAAAAAGCAUACGAAAACAGCAAAGUUCGAAUCUCUCUCCCUCUCUAUCUCUUAUAAUGGCUCUCUCAAAAUUUCUAGGGUUCAUUCUCCUCGCCGCUUUUUUCGUUUCGUUCACGGUUGCUCAAUCUCCUGCACCAGCUCCAUCUAGCGGAGGAAGGCGGAUCUCUCCGGCGCACUCACCUAAGAAGGCGAUGUCUCCUGCACCAGCUGUUUCUCCUACUCCUCAAACCGCAUUGACUCCAGAAUCUUCCUCCUCUCCUCCAUCGCCACCCUCCGCAGAUUCUCCUUCAGAUUUGCCGGCUUUUUCUCCCUCUUCCAUCUCCAACUCGCCUGCUCAAGCUCCCGCUCCCGUAAGCGGCACCGUUUCUAACAGCUACGCGGUCUUUGGAUCCGUCGCUUUUAUGUUAACCGCUGCCGUUUUGGCUAUGUAGGUUCUUUGCAUGAAUUUUUAGAAUAACUAGGUAUUUAUUUAUUUAAAAUAUUUGCAGAGAGUGGCGAUUAUUUAUUUUUCCUUUUUAUUAUUUCGGAUUACUAUUUGUUUCUCAUUUUUUUGAUCUCACAUGAGUCACAUACAUAUUAAUAUAUGAGUUUACCAGAUAUUAUUAUUGCCAUAUUUAUUUACAGUUUUGGUCUAAUAAUUUCUAAAAUGUUUAACAACAAUAUAAUGCAAAAAAGAUACAAAAUCAUGAGCUGCAAAACGACAAUACAAAAGUUGUAUCCAUACAAUCAAAAUGUUAAGUGAAAUUCAAGAUUAAUAUGGGAACAUGCUUUAAUUGAUUGUCAAAAUGAUUUUGCGUAUAUUUACAUUCCCUUUUUAUAAUUUAACUACUGCUUAGCAUAUUAGCCCAAUGAAAAAAUAUAGAUAUCCCUACUGGUAAGCAAAUAAGCCCAAAAGAAGAUUGAGACUAGAGAGAGUAACAACAAUGUGAUUGCAAUAUAUCCAUCGUAACAUGAGCCUUAAGGCCUAAUAGUAGCACAGUGGAUGUUAUAAUUGUAAUGAAUGAACCUCAGGGCCUUAAUAGUAGCCCAAUAUAACCUUCUGAAUCACUAAGAAGUUUAGAGCAUACAUCUUUCCUCUGCUUUAGACCUCUUGUUGGGGCAUGUCAAAUUGAGAAAGUACUUACUGACUUUCUGAGCCCAAACAAAACUGAAAGGGAAGUGACUUGAGGUGGAUCCUGACCGUUAGAUACUGUCUUCCCUUUUGCAAAAAGAGAGCCGUCAGAUGAGUAGAUCCGGUCCCGACAAUUUUACACGAGGCUUUUAACAUAUGAAGGCGAUGUGGCACCUAUCACCACCACCACCAUCAUCAAUAAUGCGAUUUUUUAUAUGUAAGCCAAUAUUAUGUGUAUGUGGUUGAUAAUGAUAUAUUGAUUUGUGCCUAAUAAGAUCAAAUUAUUACGGUUGUGUAUAUAAGAUAUUAGUCAUAGAAAAAAAACAUAUUGACCCAUAUGUUACAAACCAUUGACUCCAGAAUCUUCCUCCUCUCCUCCAUCGCCACCCUCCGCAGAUUCUCCUUCAGAUUUGCCGGCUUUUUCUCCCUCUUCCAUCUCCAACUCGCCUGCUCAAGCUCCC
rnacentral:lncRNA from 1 species